rnacentral:lncRNA from 1 species
CGCCGCUUCCCCACGAACAGCCUGGUGCCCUCAUCUCCUCCUCAGACUGCGGCUUCACGGCGGUGGAGCUCGGUUUCGAUUUAAACCCGAAAUCGAAUCAACGCCGAUAUCUCACUUUUACGGCCACCAUUCUUCGAUUUCUUUGGCUUAUUGAACUCGCCUUGAGCUUCUGAACACAUUAUGCGAAGGAUCGGGCCAAGUUGUUGAAGUUUUUACGUUGAUCGGAGCUUCGCCGGUUUCUGGAAAUUUUCCGGCCAAACCGUGGAUUCUAGGUAACUUUUCGACCACUUCCGUUCAUUUUCAGACUUUGUGCUAGUUAGGAAAGUGGUUGCGCUUGAUGAAAGGAAGAGGAACAGCCAGGCCCCGACACCAUUGGCGGUGGUCGGCGGCGGCUCUGUCCAAACUCUGGCGGCCCUUUUCCGGCCACCUCCGGGGGUCACAAAUUUGGUUUCUUUACAUUUUUAGAUUCUACAUUUCAAUACAAUCAUUUCGAUAUAUUAUAGGCAUUUUUUGGAUAUCGUAUGAUUUAGUUAUGAAUUUUUACGGUUUCGAUCGAUUUCGAUAAUCCAAUUAAUGUUUUUUGAAGAUCGGAGCGUCCGAUGGACUUGUAGUUUUGAUAUGUUGAUCGUAUGACUGUCCCGGUGACUUUGUGAGGUCACGGGCGAAGAUCCCACCGUUGGAUCUUUGUAUAAUUGUGAAUUAGAGAUUUAGAAGGCGAUUCGUGAGAAUCCGACCGUCGGAUUUUCAUGAAAUUUUGUGGAGAUGUUUAUAAGGACGAUUCAGGAAGAUCCGACCGUUGGAUCUUCGUGAUAAUUUUGGGGGAUGAUCCUAUGGGCGAUCCGUGAGGAUCCGACCGUUGGAUCAUCAUAUAAUUUCGAUCCGACCGUUGGAUCGUC